CACCGCCCGUCGCUACUACCGAUUGAAUUAUUUAGUGAGGUCUCCGGACGUGAUCACUGUAACGCAUUUUAUGUGUUGCUGAUGUUUCGCAAAAGUUGACCGAACUUGAUUAUUUAGAGGAAGUAAAAGUCGUAACAAGGUUUCCGUAGGUGAACCUGCGGAAG
rfam:Glossina austeni unplaced genomic scaffold Scaffold642, whole genome shotgun sequence.